rnacentral:tRNA from 1 species
AGCUGGGUAGCGCAGUGGAAGCGCGCCGGGCUCAUAACCCGGAGGGCAGUGGAUCAAAACCACUCUCAGCUA